GGUCUGCCCCAAGGGAGCCCCCUGGCCCCGCAGGAGACAAGUGAGGGACCCGGAGCGCAGACGGGACAGAAGGUGAUGGCAGUCUUGUUUUCUGAUGUCCUUAGCAGAAUGACCGUUCAGUUAAUGUAUUGAACAUCUGCUCUAAAUACUGCCCCGCGUUAACCCCCCACCUCUCGUCUCGCAGCAACCCCCGGGUGAGUUCUGCCGUGACUCCCACUUCACAGAUUAGGAAACGGGGGCUGGGGGAGUUACGGAGCCACAGACUGACAGCUCCCGGCGGCAGGAGCAGCCCCUGGGGGCGCCAGUGAGGAGGGCGGCGGCCUGCAGUGCCCCGUGAGCACGGAGGAGCGCAGGUGGGCCCUGUGCACGCCCCUGCGUUCCUUAUUGCUUCCCUGCCGCUGCGAGUCGUUCGCUCGCAAGCCUGAGGUUCUCAAUCUUAAAAUAGCCCCAGAUUUUUCGCUGCUUAGAGACGACUUUCUCUACACUCCCCGCAACACCUGACCCAACAGCAGCGCCCCUGCUGCGGGGCCUUGUGUGCCCAAGACGCUGAACAAGCCGGCCCGCUGGGCUCGGCCCUGAUCCGGCCAGCAGACUGACCGACCAGCGAAAGGGCGACAGUGGCUGCUUCAGAGCGGCCGGAGGGACCCAGCGGACACCUGUCCAGAAAGUCACCCUGGAGCCACCGUGCUGGCACAAAAGACCAGAAACCCUCGGCUGGAUGAAGGUCAGCGCCAGUAUCCACGAGCAAGCUGCGCUCGGUCCCUGGGGGGCGAGCGAGUGACCCGCGCCCAGAGCAACGCACCCGGCAUAGCCGAGUUUCUGUGAGGGCCUCAGAGGCCCGGCCACCGACCGCAGCCGUCCUCGACGGGACCCGGGGGCCUGCUGGACACGCUGCGGUUGUCUCAACCAGGGUCUGCCGGCUUCCGGGAGAAGAGCGCUGCCCAGGACAGCUGCCGCCCGCACUCAGCCGGGUGGGCCCGGGUCUGGUCCGCGGUGUCGACAGCAAGGCGGAGAACCCGUUCCCUCGAGGCCACACCCGUGCGCCCGGCGCCCCUGGUCUUCACCCCCGUGGGCUCUUUCUUUCACCAAGGCCAGGUCCUCGGGACACAGGCAGAUGUGUCCAAGGCCCAGCGUUGCUGCGGCUGAGCUGGCUGAAGACGAUGUUCCAUAUCCUGAUGUUCGGCGUCGACAGGAGCUGGCUGAGUUCUUCGGUGAUGUCGGAGCAGCCUUUGACCCGCAGCGUGUACACCACGGUGGUCCCUAGAAGUUGGGUCACCUGAGCGCCAUGGCCCAGUGGGCAGCACCAGCACCCAGCCAGCUGCAUGGCCAGGGCCGCGGGGCUCGGAACUCGCCUGCCUCUCCAGGUCAGCCAUCGGGCGGUGACAGACAGGUGCAGCUGACCCAAGGUAGAUAGGUAGGCACCCCUGCCCCACCCAGGAGGACCGGGCCUGGGUCCUCCUCAUCCAGGCCGGGCCCAGACCCCACUCCUCUCUGGAGCAGAGUGUUACCUGCCUCAGUUUCCCCUCAGCAGAAGCAAAAGCAGCCAGAUGAGACCCAGUGACUGCGUACAGACAGAGCAAGAGCCCGGGGGGGUGAGGGAGGGAGCAGGGCGCCAGUCUUGGGGGGGAGAGCACCAGAACCUGGCUAGGUGGCUCCUUCCCUCGGCCGGCCGACAGGCAGGGCACUGGGGGCUGGGCUAGUGUGUUAGGAAGACACGGGACCAAGGCUGUUGUAUAGCAAGUAAAGCUGCCGCCGGCAGUGCCAGCAUCCCAUAUGGGUACCAGUUCAUGUCCUGGCUGCUCCACUUCUGAUCCAGCUCUCUGCUAUGGCUGGGUGUCGGGAGCAACUCAGACUAGACUAAGUUACUCGAAUUAAGACUUAUUCUAUGCAUCUGCUCUCCCACAAUAUGGUGCUGGGAGAGGAGUAAACUUCUACACAGCUGCCUCUCACCAACUUGACAAACUGCAGGAGCUGAUCCUGCUCCUGACUGGAGGAGAGCAGCGUGCUCGGCGUGUGGGUAGCAGAGCACAGAUUGGUGGAAGAGGACUAUAAAGGAGGAGAGAGACAACAUGCACCAGGAACACCUGAGGAACAUCUGAGCAGCCCCCGAGAGAGCCGGCCGGCAGUGUGCCACUCCCCCGCGGAAGUAGGGAAAGUGGCAGGGGGAACCGCCCUUCCACGGAGGUGGAAGGGAUGGUAGCCAACCCGGGAAGAACCAACAGCAAACCCAGGGAGGGCCCAGCAGACAAAAGAACAAUGCAGGGUCCUGUGUCGUUCCUCCGCGAAGAGGGGGAGCGACAGCUGGGAAAGAGGUAGAAGAUGGGCCAAGUCCCUGGGCCCCAGCAUGCGCAAGGGAGACAAAAAAGAAGCGCCUGGCUCCUGGCUUCAGAUCAGCUCAGCUCCAGCCGGGGCAGCCAACUGGGGAGUGAACCAGUGGGUGGAAGACCCCUCUCUCUGUUCUCUCUCUCUCUCUCUCUCUGCCUCUCCUCUCUCUGUGUAACUCUUUCAAAUAAAUAAAUCUUUUUAUCUUUUAAAAGGAAGAUGUGGGCCUGUGCGCUUCUCUGCUGCAUUUUUUAAAAAGUGACCCUGGGCAAAAGCAAGUAAAAAAAUUCGCAUUUGAUGGCAUUGACCCAAGUUGAGCUCUGUGAGGAAAAACCUCCCAGGUCCCUGCAGAAGAGGACACAGGCACAGGAUGGGCCAAGUCCCCGCACCGCCCGGCUCCCAGCCCCAGAGUUAAAACCCGCAGCAGUGUAGACAUCCCAGGGAGGUGAAAGCACAAAGAGCCAUGCCCACUGGGAUUCCCAGUGUUCUGGGAAAUACUGCGGGGAGCUGGGUGCAGCUGUGGGUCUCAUACACUGUACCGACCCCAGAGUCCAGCUGGAGAGUGGCCCUGUGUGCACUGAGGACCUGUUGACGCUGAGGCCAGCCGGGCAGACCACUGAGAAAUCCAGGACUGCAAUUAACAUCCAUGCCUGAUGCCCACAUGGCCCUGGGGAAGCCUGCGCCCCCUGCUGGUGAGGAGCAGACCUGCAAGGCUCUGAGCUCUGCAGGACCUGCCCUUGCCAGGGACCCACCCAUGAGGGUCCUGGCCUGCUGCUGUGGGACCUGGUCUGCUGUGUAGCCCAAGGAGAACCCAUUGCUUUCAUCAGAAAGGACGAUUGUUGGAUUUGGAAGCCGAAUGUGACACUUCCACCAGGGGACCCAGUUUGCUAAGACUGACAGGUAGAAGAGUGUAGGUGUGCAGAGGCCACCCCACCCCACCUGUGGAAUGAAGCAGCCUGGUGACUGACAGCCAGCACAGGUGGAGGCCCUGGGCCAGCAGCAGGGGAAGCAGCCCUGCCCUGAGAAGGCAGCCCUGAGACAGCACUGGAGCCUCUCUCCUGCUCACAGGCAUCCUGGCCCCGUCCCCGUGUCAGGCGCCUCCCCCACCUCUCUGUGAACCUGCAUCUCAGGACCCCUGGAGGAACUGGAUCCCAAGACAUACCUUGCACGACUUCUGCAAGCCCAU